rnacentral:rRNA from 1 species
CCUACGGGAGGCUGCAGUGGGGAAUAUUGGACAAUGGGGGGAACCCUGAUCCAGCCAUGCCGCGUGUGUGAAGAAGGCCUUUUGGUUGUAAAGCACUUUAAGUGGGGAGGAGGCUUACCUGGUUAAUACCUGGGCUAAGUGGACGUUACCCACAGAAUAAGCACCGGCUAACUCUGUGCCAGCAGCCGCGGUAAUACAGAGGGUGCGAGCGUUAAUCGGAUUUACUGGGCGUAAAGCGCGCGUAGGUGGUUAAUUAAGUCAAAUGUGAAAUCCCCGAGCUUAACUUGGGAAUUGCAUUCGAUACUGGUUAGCUAGAGUAUGGGAGAGGAUGGUAGAAUUCCAGGUGUAGCGGUGAAAUGCGUAGAGAUCUGGAGGAAUACCGAUGGCGAAGGCAGCCAUCUGGCCUAAUACUGACACUGAGGUGCGAAAGCAUGGGGAGCAAACAGGCUUAGAUACCCCGGUAGUC